AUACGGAGGAUGCAAGCGUUAUCCGGAUUUAUUGGGUUUAAAGGGUGCGUAGGCGGUUUGCUAAGCGGGAGGUGAAAUGCCGGCGCUCAACGUCGGAAGUGCCUCCCGAACUGGUGGACUUGAAUGACUCUGCCGUGGGAGGAAUGUGUAGUGUAGCGGUGAAAUGCUUAGAGAUUACACAGAACACCGAUUGCGAAGGCAUCUCACGAAGUGUUGAUUGACGCUGAGGCACGAAAGCGUGGGGAUCAAACAGGAUUAGAUACCCUGGUAGGCCACGCAGUAAUCGAUGAAGGCUAACCGCUGGGCUUAUCAGUUCAGUGGCCAAGCGAAAGCGAUAAGCCAUCCACCUGGGGAGUACGACCGCAAGGUUGAAACUCAAAUGAAUUGACGGGG
rnacentral:rRNA from 1 species